UGGGGAAUAUUGGACAAUGGGCGGAAAGCCUGAUCCAGCCAUGCCGCGUGUGUGAAGAAGGUCUUCGGAUUGUAAAGCACUUUAAGUUGGGAGGAAGGGCUGUC
rnacentral:rRNA from 1 species